rnacentral:rRNA from 1 species
CCUACGGGGUGCUGCAGUGAGGAAUAUUGGUCAAUGGGCGGAAGCCUGAACCAGCCAAGUAGCGUGCAGGAUGACGGCCCUACGGGUUGUAAACUGCUUUUAUACGGGAAUAACGCGCCUUACGCGUAGGCUUUGCCAGUUACGGUAGUAUAAGGACCGGCCUAAUCCGGUCCCGGCAGCCGGGGGAAUAGGGAAGGUCCGGCCGUUAUCCGGAUUUUUGGGGUUUAAGGGGGGCGUAGGCCGCAUGUCAAGCGUGCUGUGAAAUGUCCGGGCUAAACCCGGCCCUUGCAGCGCGAACUGGCGUGCUUGAGUCCGCGGAAGGCAGGCGGAAUUCGUCGUGUAGCGGUGAAAUGCUUAGAUAUGACGAAGAACCCCGAUUGCGAAGGCAGCUUGCUGCAGCGGAACUGACGCUGAUGCUCGAAAGCGCGGGUAUCGAACAGGAUUAGAUACCCGUGUAGUC